CUUGAACGCUGGCGGCAGGCCUAACACAUGCAAGUCGAACGAGUGGCGAACGGGUGAGUAAUGUCGGGGAAACUGCCCGAUGGCGGGGGAUAAUUACCGGAAACGAUAGCUAACCCCGCAUCCCAUCGGAUGUCCGCAGAUGGGAUUAGCUGGUUGGUGGGGUAACGGCGCACCUGGGCGUCGAUCCCUAGCUGGUGUGAGAGGAUGACCAGCCACACUGGAACUGAGACACGGUCCAUACUCCUACGGGAGGCAGCAGUGGGGAAUAUUGCACAAGGGACGCAAGCCUGAUGCAGCCAUGCCGCGUGUAUGAAGAAGGCCUUCGGGUGGUAAAGGACUUUCAGCGAGGAGGCGUUACUCGCAGAAGAAGCACCGGCUAACUCCGUGCCAGCAGCGGCGGUAAUUC
rnacentral:rRNA from 1 species